rnacentral:rRNA from 1 species
AUUGAACGCUGGCGGCAGGCCUAACACAUGCAAGUCGAGCGGAUGAAGGGAGCUUGCUCCUGGAUUCAGCGGCGGACGGGUGAGUAAUGCCUAGGAAUCUGCCUGGUAGUGGGGGAUAACGUCCGGAAACGGGCGCUAAUACCGCAUACGUCCUGAGGGAGAAAGUGGGGGAUCUUCGGACCUCACGCUAUCAGAUGAGCCUAGGUCGGAUUAGCUAGUUGGUGGGGUAAAGGCCUACCAAGGCGACGAUCCGUAACUGGCCUGAGAGGAUGAUCAGUCACACUGGAACUGAGACACGGUCCAGACUCCUACGGGAGGCAGCAGUGGGGAAUACUGGACAAUGGGCGAAAGCCUGAUCCAGCCAUGCCGCGUGUGUGAAGAAGGUCUUCGGAUUGUAAAGCACUUUAAGUUGGGAGGAAGGGCAGUAAGUUAAUACCUUGCUGUUUUGACGUUACCAACAGAAUAAGCACCGGCUAACUUCGUG